GAUGAACGCUGGCGGCGUGCCUAAUACAUGCAAGUCGAGCGGACUUUCAAGAAGCUUGCUUUUUGAAAGUUAGCGGCGGACGGGUGAAUAACACGUGGGCAACCUGCCUGUAAGACGGGGAUAACUCCGGGAAACCGGGGCUAAUACCGGAUAAUAUCUUUCUUCGCAUGAAGGCAGGUUGAAAGGCGGCGCAAGCUGCCGCUUGCAGAUGGGCCCGCGGCGCAUUAGCUAGUUGGUGAGGUAACGGCUCACCAAGGCGACGAUGCGUAGCCGACCUGAGAGGGUGAUCGGCCACACUGGGACUGAGACACGGCCCAGACUCCUACGGGAGGCAGCAGUAGGGAAUCUUCCGCAAUGGACGAAAGUCUGACGGAGCAACGCCGCGUGAGCGAAGAAGGUCUUCGGAUCGUAAAGCUCUGUUGUCAGGGAAGAACAAGUACCGUUCGAAUAGGGCGGUACCUUGACAGUACCUGACCAGAAAGCCACGGCUAACUACGUGCCAGCCGCCGCAGUAA
rnacentral:rRNA from 1 species